rnacentral:snRNA from 1 species
UGGCUCACCAUCAAUCGAUGA